rnacentral:rRNA from 1 species
GUGGGGAAUAUUGGGCAAUGGGGGAAACCCUGACCCAGCAACGCCGCGUGAGGGAAGAAGGUUUUCGGAUUGUAAACCUCUAUCCUUGGUGAAGAAAGAGAUGACGGUAGCCAAGGAGGAAGCCCCGGCUAACUACGUGCCAGCAGCCGCGGUAAUACGUAGGGGGCGAGCGUUGUCCGGAAUGACUGGGCGUAAAGGGCGUGUAGGCGGCCGAUUAAGUCCGGAGCGAAAGUCCUGCUUUCAAGGUGGGAAUUGCUUUGGAAACUGGUUGGCUUGAGUGCGGAAGAGGUAAGUGGAAUUCCCAGUGUAGCGGUGAAAUGCGUAGAGAUUGGGAGGAACACCAGUGGCGAAGGCGACUUACUGGGCCGUAACUGACGCUGAGGCGCGAAAGCGUGGGGAGCGAACAGGAUUAGAAACCCUGGUAGUCC